rnacentral:rRNA from 1 species
GUGCCAGCAGCCGCGGUAAUACGUAGGGUGCGAGCGUUAAUCGGAAUUACUGGGCGUAAAGCGAGCGCAGACGGUUACUUAAGCAGGAUGUGAAAUCCCCGGGCUCAACCUGGGAACUGCGUUCUGAACUGGGUGACUAGAGUGUGUCAGAGGGAGGUAGAAUUCCACGUGUAGCAGUGAAAUGCGUAGAGAUGUGGAGGAAUACCGAUGGCGAAGGCAGCCUCCUGGGAUAACACUGACGUUCAUGCUCGAAAGCGUGGGUAGCAAACAGGAUUAGAUACCCUGGUAGUCCACGCCCUAAACGAUGUCAAUUAGCUGUUGGGCAACUUGAUUGCUUAGUAGCGUAGCUAACGCGUGAAAUUGACCGCCUGGGGAGUACGGUCGCAAGAUUAAAACUCAAAGGAAUUGACGGGGACCCGCACAAGCGGUGGAUGAUGUGGAUUAAUUCGAUGCAACGCGAAGAACCUUACCUGGUCUUGACAU